AUUGAACGCUGGCGGCAGGCCUAACACAUGCAAGUCGAGCGGAGCGGCGGACGGGCGAGUAAUGCCUAGGAAUCUACCUGGCAGUGGGGGAUAACGUCCGGAAACGGGCGCUAACUCAGCCUGCUAUCCGAUGAGUCUAGGUCGGAUUAGCUAGUUGGUGGGGGAAAGGCCUACCAAGGCGACGAUCCGUACCUGGUUUGAGAGGAUGAUCAGUCACACUGGAACUGAGACACGGUCCAGACUCCUACGGGAGGCAGCAGUGGGGAAUAUUGGACAAUGGGCGAAAGCCUGAUCCAGCCAUGCCGCGUGUGUGAAGAAGGUCUUCGGGUUGUAAAGCACUUUAAGUUGGGAGGCGUUACCAACAGAAUAAGCACCGGCUAACUCCGUGCCAGCAGCAGCGGUAAUAC
rnacentral:rRNA from 1 species